rfam:Schistosoma haematobium scaffold718_4, whole genome shotgun sequence.
AUUCAACUGACGAUUCCUAAAUAGAACGAAACUCGCGUUCUGGAU